GGACUACACGGGUUUCUAAUCCUGUUUGAUCCCCACGCUUUCGUGCCUCAGCGUCAAUCAUACUUUAGUAAGCUGCCUUCGCAAUUGGUGUUCUGUGACAUAUCUAUGCAUUUCACCGCUACUUGUCACAUUCCGCCUACCUCAAGUACAUUCAAGCUCUUCAGUAUCAAAGGCACUGCGAUAGUUGAGCUACCGUCUUUCACCCCUGACUUAAAAAGCCGCCUACGCACCCUUUAAACCCAAUAAAUCCGGAUAACGCUCGGAUCCUCCGUAUUACCGCGGCUGCUGGCAC
rnacentral:rRNA from 1 species